rnacentral:rRNA from 1 species
AAUGAACGCUGGCGGCGUGCUUAACACAUGCAAGUCGAGCGAAAAGCCCUUCGGGGUGAGUAAGCGGCGGACGGGUGAGUAAUACACAGGUACCUGCCCCUCAGUGAGGAAUACCCUCGGGAAAUCGAGGUUAAUACUGCAUACGUCCCUACGGGGAGAAAGGCGGCUUUUAUGCUGUCGCUGAAGGAUGGGCUUGUGGGCUAUCAGCUAGUUGGUGGGGUAAAGGCUCACCAAGGCUAUGACGGCUAGCCGGCCUGAGAGGGUGUACGG